GACGAACGCUGGCGGCGUGCUUAACACAUGCAAGUCGAACGGAAAGGCCCUGCUUUUGUGGGGUGCUCGAGUGGCGAACGGGUGAGUAACACGUGAGUAACCUGCCCUUGACUUUGGGAUAACUUCAGGAAACUGGGGCUAAUACCGGAUAGGAGCUCCUGCUGCAUGGUGGGGGUUGGAAAUUUUCGGCGGGUGGGGAUGGACUCGCGGCUUAUCAGCUUGUUGGUGGGGUAGUGGCUUACCAAGGCUUUGACGGGUAGCCGGCCUGAGAGGGUGGCCGGCCACAUUGGGACUGAGAUACGGCCCAGACUCCUACGGGAGGCAGCAGUGGGGAAUAUUGCACAAUGGGCGGAAGCCUGAUGCAGCAACGCCGCGUGCGGGAUGACGGCCUUCGGGUUGUAAACCGCUUUCGCCUGUGACGAAGCGUGAGUGACGGUAAUGGGUAAAGAAGCACCGGCUAACUACGUG
rnacentral:rRNA from 1 species